AGUCACGGUUAUUCUAGACCAAUUCCCUUCUUCUUCCCAAGUUCACAUCUACCUUUGCCUCAUGCCCCACCCCCUCUUGUGCUCCCCAGGGUGGAGGAUGGGCAGACCCCACUGCUCUCAGCCUCCUUAAAAACACUCCCUUCCUGCAGAAAGGUUCUCUAUGCAGAUAAAAUCAGCCUCAGACCACAAGUGCAGACACACCAUCUUUCUGACAAGGUCAGUGGCAUGUCUGCUGAGACCCUCACCACUCUUGCCAGGAUUUACCUCCUAGGAUUACUCUUCUCCAUUCUCUCAGGGUCCUGGGCCCAGGUGAAGCUUUUGGAGUCAGGAGGCAAGGUGACACAUGAGGGCCAGUCCGUGACCCUGACCUGCAAGGCUUCUGGCUUUAACUUCAAGGAUUAUGCUAUGUCUUGGCACUGGAACCCAAGUGGGAGCAACAGGCAAUUUGUGGCCAGUAUCAGCCCCAAAACUGGCAGUAAAAGAGAGUAUAAGCCCAGCAUCCAGGGCAGGGCUUUGAUCACCAGGAAUAACGAAGCCAACACUGUCUCCCUGACCCUGCGCCAGCUACGAAAGGAAGACUCAGGCAUAUACUACUGUGCCAAACUCACUGUGCUAGGGCUUAGGCAGACACCUUGACAUAAACUUGGCACCCACAGGGGGAUUAGAGCCCCCAGAAUGGUACUGCACUAUGUUGUGUUUUCUUUCUCUCUCUCUCUGUAGAGAAGGAAAGAGAGGAAUAGGUUCUCCCUAUGUGUUUUUGUGGGUGUACGGAGAAGAAAAGAGAAUGACUUUAUAUGUGUGGAUGUGUUAAAUAAGAGGCAGUCUCUCCACUGUUCCUCCACAUUCUUGACUCCAGCCAUUUCUUCAAUUGAGGGCCUCUUCCACUCUUCCUCAGCGUGCCAGUAACUCCCUCCCCACAUUGGGGCCAAGACUUUAGGCCUGAUUCCUGGGGGAACAACCAGAGAUUGGGAGCAGAGAGGAUUCUGUCUGAAAUCCUGCCCUGAGGGCAUAUCCUCUAUGCUAUGCAUUCGUUCCUCAGAUUGGUUCCACCAUGGGAACAGAAGGAACAAGCCCUGGCUCCAUUCAUAGCCAGGGGAGGCAGAUAAGGAACUAACCAACUGCUCCAGGGAAGCUCAACGUCUCAGCUUCAAAGGAAUCUAGAAAGAAUCGAUUGGCCCCUGAACUCAGAAAGCCUUUCCUACAUUAUUACCCUAUGAAGGAGGAGGUACAAGUGCAAAUUAUGCCCAUUUUACACACGAGAAAACUGAGGUUCAUAUAAGAAAAGAGAUCUGCUUGGAAUUACCAGGCUUAAGUAGUAGAAACUUUAGUCUGCUUUCCUCUGCUUCUUCCACCAAACCUCUGGUCUCUUUGACCAGCUCUAGACAAUGCUUUGACCAUUUGCUGGCCUGCAAGAUCUCAGGAAUCCUCUCUGUUCAAGUUCCUUCAAACCUUUAAUUUGGAUCUGGUAGAGGGCAAGCCUCCAAAGGUGCUGUGGAGGACACAGACUUCUUUAAAUUUAUUUUGUAAUUUUGUCACUGUCAAGUCCCUUUUGGUCAUUGUGUUCCAGACCUUGGACAGUUCUAGAGCCCAGCAGGCUGAAAAUACUCAGAAGGAGGGGAAUAUAUAUAGCAAGGAGUAGUACAAUGAAGCAUCAAACAUGACCCUUGUACAUGUGCUUCUCUAGGGCACCUAGGUCUCCCAGGGCUCUUCUGUCCAUCUUCUGCUUCCCUGCCAAGGACUUUCACAUUCUUCAUGUGCCAUAUGAUUAGGGCCAACCAUUAAAUAGCAUCAUUGAAAAUUGCUCCUUCUCAGGCUUUCUUUGAUUUUGGAAAGUAGUAGUAUGGAAGAAGUAGGUGCCCUCUUCAGAUUAUUGGUAGCAGUUGCUGCCUUCUUG